AAAAACUGAGGUGGUAUACGAUGGUUCCGCGUCUGAUUAGCUAGUUGGUGGGGUAAAAGCCUACCAAGGCAACGAUCAGUAGCCGGCCUGAGAGGGUGAACGGCCACAUUGGGACUGAGACACGGCCCAAACUCCUACGGGAGGCAGCAGUGGGGAAUAUUGCACAAUGGGGGAAACCCUGAUGCAGCGACGCCGCGUGAGUGAAGAAGUAUUUCGGUAUGUAAAGCUCUAUCAGCAGGGAAGAAAUACUGACCAUAGGGUCAGCAGACGGUACUUGACUAAGAAGCCCCGGCUAACUACGUGCCAGCAGCCGCGGUAAUACGUAGGGGGCAAGCGUUAUCCGGAUUUACUGGGUGUAAAGGGAGCGUAGACGGCAGCGCAAGUCUGAAGUGAAAUGCCAGGGCUUAACCCUGGAACUGCUUUGGGAACUGUGCAGCUAGAGUGCAGGAGAGGUAAGUGGAAUUUCUAGUGUAGCGGUGAAAUGCGUAGAUAUUAGGAGGAACACCAGUGGCGAAGGCGGCUUACUGGACUGUAACUGACGUUGAGGCUCGAAAGCGUGGGGAGCAAACAGGAUUAGAUACCCUGGUAGUCCACGCUGUAAACGAUGAUUACUAGGUGUUGGGGGACCAAGGUUCUUCG
rnacentral:rRNA from 1 species